rnacentral:rRNA from 1 species
AGAGUUUGAUCCUGGCUCAGGAUGAACGCUAGCUACAGGCUUAACACAUGCAAGUCGAGGGGCAGCAUGGUCUUAGCUUGCUAAGGCUGAUGGCGACCGGCGCACGGGUGAGUAACACGUAUCCAACCUGCCGUCUACUCUUGGACAGCCUUCUGAAAGGAAGAUUAAUACAAGAUGGCAUCAUGAGUCCGCAUGUUCACAUGAUUAAAAGGUAUUCCGGUAGACGAUGGGGAUGCGCUCCAUUAGAUAGUAGGCGGGGUAACGGCCCACCUAGUCUUCGAUGGAUAGGGGUUCUGAGAGGAAGGUCCCCCACAUUGGAACUGAGACACGGUCCAAACUCCUACGGGAGGCA